UACGUAGGUGGCAAGCGUUGUCCGGAAUUAUUGGGCGUAAAGAGCUCGUAGGUGGUUCGCUAAGUCGGAUGUGAAAUCUCCAAGCUCAACUUGGAGCGGUCAUUCGAUACUGGCGUGACUUGAGUACGGUAGGGGACCACGGAAUUCCUGGUGUAGCGGUGAAAUGCACAGAUAUCAGGAGGAACACCGGUGGCGAAGGCGGUGGUCUGGGCCGUAACUGACGCUGAGGAGCGAAAGCGUGGGUAGCAAACAGG
rnacentral:rRNA from 1 species